UGAACAGCAUCUUAAAUCCAGCGAUGAGUUCAGCCUGUAAGAGAGAGAGAGACGACUCAUGUCGCAUAUUCACUUUCGAAGGAUUUUGGGCUGCCCGAGCGCCGUGCGGUGAUGUAACCGAAGCAGGAAGGUCACAGCGGUGGAUUCGUCGAUGUUAACUUUUACAGUUUCUCACCCAGACAAGCUUGCUGACUCUGCGCCGUGAGCGACUGAAGCAACGUAAGAUGAGAUCCACAUUGCCCCCAGACUACAAGGACGUUCUCGGGAUGAGAACUUUGAUAAAAACGACAGGAUGGACAGAGAGACGAUGUUGAACGUUUUAGGUGUGGAUUGAUUUUAAUUACAGUAUUUUCCAAAACGGAUUCACACCUCCUGAGCUUCGUCUUUAUUACGCUACGACCUUAAAGUUCAGUGUAUUUAAUUGGAGCUAAAGUAGGGAGCAGAAAGUAGGGCGUCAUGGGGAGAUAAAUGGAAAAUAAUACAAAAUCUAACAAGUGGGAUGUGCAUUUUCCUGCAAUUAGAGGUCUUUUGAGGCAUAUAUAGGUCUUUUCUAGGCAUUACAACGUCCCUCAUUAUUCUUUUCAAAAUCAAACUCAAUCAGUUUAGCAUCAGCUCCUCUGUCAUUGUCACGGGGUUCAGGGUGAUGGCAUGUUUUGGUAUAGGGUUGGAGUUGUGCCAUAGAUAGUUGGACCAAUGAUGUGGCUCAUUGAUCCAGUAAAAUUCUGAUUGCAACAGAAUCCUAUUGUGUGUGAUUGUGUGUUCAUAUGACACACUAAAAACCACAAAUAUGAUUUACCCUGGGUUGGACUAUCUCUGAAUCCCACUAAAACACACUUAGGUUUCUUGUCGCGAUGUAAUAAAAAUAUAACAGAGUUCAAGAUAUUUAAAUACUUUUUUGCAAGGCCAUGCAUAUUUUGUCUAUGUUGGCGGUUUAAGGUGCAAAUAUUUCGAUUGUUUUAAAGUCUUUUUUUUUUUUUCUGAAGAUGUCCAUCCAGACGUUCAUUGUUCCCAGAGUCUCAUCAGCUUUGGUGAUACGAUGAAGACUUUCUGCCAACCAGGUAAUGCUUCACUUGGUUUCACAUUCAUCUGGUGAUUUUACUACAGAGACGGAGGGCUGUCAGUAGUCUGAAGAGGUCCAGCGAUUCACAGAGACCAUUUGUGGACUUCCACAAGGACGAGAAAAUUAUGAACCUGCCCUUAAUUAUUAAACAAGUGUGUCAGCA